rnacentral:rRNA from 1 species
AGAGUUUGAUCAUGGCUCAGAAUCAACGCUGGCGGCGUGCCUAACACAUGCAAGUCGCACGAGAAAGGGACUUCGGUCCUGAGUACAGUGGCGCACGGGUGAGUAACACGUGAAUCAUCUACCUUCGAGUGGGGAAUAACUGAGAGAAAUCUUAGCUAAUACCGCAUAAAACCUACGGGUCAAAGCAGUAAUGCGCUUGAAGAGGAGUUCGCGGCAGAUUAGUUAGUUGGCGGGGUAAUGGCCCACCAAGACGAUGAUCUGUAUCCGGCCUGAGAGGGCGCACGGACACACUGGAACUGAAACACGGUCCAGACUCCUACGGGAGGCAGCAGUGGGGAAUUUUGCGCAAUGGGGGAAACCCUGACGCAGCAACGCCGCGUGGAGGAUGAAAUCCCUUGGGAUGUAAACUCCUUUCGAUAGGGAAGAUAAUGACGGUACCUAUAGAAGAAGCCCCGGCUAACUUCGUGCCAGCAGCCGCGGUAAUACGAGGGGGGCAAGCGUUGUUCGGAAUUAUUGGGCGUAAAGGGUGCGUAGGCGGUUUGACAAGUCUUAUGUGAAAUCUAUGGGCUCAACCCAUAGUCUGCAUGGGAAACUGUCGGGCUUGAGUAUGGGAGAGGUGAGUGGAAUUUCCGGUGUAGCGGUGAAAUGCGUAGAUAUCGGAAGGAACACCUGUGGCGAAAGCGGCUCGCUGGACCAUAACUGACGCUGAUGCACGAAAGCUAGGGGAGCAAACAGGAUUAGAUACCCCUGUAGUCC